ACCCAUAGGUCUAAUGGUAAGGCGUUUGCUGCGAAGCCAGAAGGUCCUGGGUUCGGUCCCCGAGAGGGUA
rnacentral:tRNA from 1 species